UUAAAUACAAAUUACAGAUAAUGGAUGAAAAUUAAAAUAUCGAAAAUCGAUUAAAGUACAGUUGUAUAUGAUAGCUUUUUGAGAGUAUUACAACAUCGGUGGGCUUUUGGAAGCACAGCGUGAUUAGGAGAGAGAGGGAUAGAGAGUGGGAGAGUGAUGGAAUGGCAAAGCAAAGCAUAAACUGCGAUUAACGGCGACUGUUGCCGGCGCCGACAUCCAAUCAGCAGAGCGAGAGGCAGAGAGUGAGAGAGC